rnacentral:rRNA from 1 species
AUGCUAGUAUUAUAUAUAUACACAUUGUUAUCUACUUCUCAUUGUGCUUUUUUUCCCUUGUCUUUUUUUCUUUUCCUUCCAUCCAUUUCAUGGAUUGUUGGCAUCUUUCAAUUAAGCCAUCAGCCCGUCAUUGGUUACACUUCCAAGUGCAUCGCCUUGACCAUCGUUUGUAUACUCUUGUUUUCUUCUCUGUGCUUGUUCGGGAUCGUGUUCUUGAGAACCUCCCUGUAUCAUCUCGAGCAUACGCAAUUUCUUCGUUUGUCCCUUAAGCAGUUCCAUGCCAUCCAGUUUGGCACCUAUGGCUACAUCCAGUUUGAUAUCAUUGCAUACCAAUUGUUCUAG